AUUGAACGCUGGCGGCAGGCCUAACACAUGCAAGUCGAACGAGCGGCGGACGGGUGAGUAAUGUCUGGGGAUCUGCCUGAUGGAGGGGGAUAACUACUGGAAACGGUAGCUAAUACCGCAUACCAUCAGAUGAACCCAUAUGGGAUUAGCUGGUAGGUGGGGUAACGGCUCACCAAGGCGACGAUCCCUAGCUGGUCUGAGAGGAUGACCAGCCACACUGGGACUGAGACACGGUCCAGAUGCCUACGUGAGGCAGCAGGGGGGAAUAUUGCACAAUGGGCGCAAGCUUGAUGCAGCCAUGCCGCGUGUAUGAAGAAGGCCUUCGGGUUGUAAAGUACUUUCAGCGGGGAGGCGUUACCCGCAGAAGAAGCACCGGCUAACUCCGUGCCAGCAGCCGCGGUAAUAC
rnacentral:rRNA from 1 species